UCACCCUGAAAACUGCUGCUUCUCCCUUUGGAUGGACUUCACACAGAGAGAUUCCACCGCAGUGCAGCAGCCUGACUCAGGCAUAGAGGUAACCUGUGCCUUCCAGGUGACAGCGAUAAUCAGGGUGGGUGACGACUGAAGGAAUUAUUCCAGCUGACAGUAAAUCUGAAUGAAGUCGAUUAAAACCCUCGAUAAAAGGUUAUUCACAAUCGUCAAGGCAUGGAAACAACCUGACGUCCACUGAUAGACGAACAGAUGAAGAAGAGGUGGUAUUGACAUAAAAGGAGUAUCAUUUAUUCUUAAAAAAGAAGGAAAUC